rnacentral:RNase_P_RNA from 1 species
GUGGAAGAAUAGGUGAUUGCGCUGCGUGAGGCUGAAAAGCCCGCGUGGUGAGGAAAGUCCGAACUUCACAGAGCAUCGCGCCGACUAACGGUCGGACGGUAAGCAGUGCGCGGAACGAAGCGAUGAAGCCGCACACAGCAAGCCGAUGGAAAGUGCAACAGAAAAGAUACCGCCAGCACGGCAAAGAAAUUCGCAAGAAGAACGUUGCCAUGCAGGUAAGGGUGAAAUGGUAAGGUAAGAGCUUACCGCACACGUGGCAACACGGCGUGGCAUGGUAAACCCCGCGAGAAGCAAAGCCAAGUAUGAAUGCACUACUGCAAAUGUACCAGCACACGCAGUAUGUAUGCGGCUCGUGUAAAUGUUUGUUCGCGCAAUGGCGCAAGCCUUUGCCAAAGCAAACGGUGUAUUCGGGUAGGCUGCACAAGAUAAAUAAUCACCUCUUUGCUUGGAAGCCGCUUCCUUCCUUGCGAAAAGACAGAAUUCGGCUUAUCAUUCUUUCACGAUU